rnacentral:rRNA from 1 species
AUUGAACGCUGGCGGCAGGCCUAACACAUGCAAGUCGGGCGGCAGCGGGAAAGUAGCUUGCUACUUUUGCCGGCGAGCGGCGGACGGGUGAGUAAUGCCUGGGAAAUUGCCCAGUCGAGGGGGAUAACAGUUGGAAACGACUGCUAAUACCGCAUACGCCCUACGGGGGAAAGCAGGGGACCUUCGGGCCUUGCGCGAUUGGAUAUGCCCAGGUGGGAUUAGCUAGUUGGUGAGGUAAUGGCUCACCAAGGCGACGAUCCCUAGCUGGUCUGGGAGGAUGAUCAGCCUCACUGGAAAUGAGACACGGUCCAGGCUCCUACGGGAGGCAGCAGUGGGGAAUAUUGCAAAAUGGGGGAAACCCUGAUGCAGCCAUGCCGCGUGUGUGAAGAAGGCCUUCGGGUUGUAAAGCACUUUCAGCGAGGAGGAAAGGUUGAUGCCUAAUACGUAUCAACUGUGACGUUACUCGCAGAAGAAUCACCGGCUAACUCCGUGCCAGCCGCCGCGGUAACAC